GUGUCAGCCGCCGCGGUAAUACGUAGGGGGCAAGCGUUAUCCGGAUUUACUGGGUGUAAAGGGAGCGUAGGUGGUUCGGUAAGUCAGAUGUGAAAGCCCGGGGCUCAACCCCGGGACUGCAUUUGAAACUAUCGGACUAGAGUGCAGGAGAGGUAAGUGGAAUUCCUAGUGUAGCGGUGAAAUGCGUAGAUAUUAGGAGGAACACCAGUGGCGAAGGCGGCUUACUGGACUGUAACUGACACUGAGGCUCGAAAGCGUGGGGAGCAAACAGGAUUAGAUACCCUCGUAGUCC
rnacentral:rRNA from 1 species